rnacentral:rRNA from 1 species
CGGGGGCACGGGGGGCCUACGGGAGGCAGCAGUGGGGAAUCUUCCACAAUGGGCGAAAGCCUGAUGGAGCAACGCCGCGUGAGUGAAGAAGGUCUUAGGAUUGUAAAGCUCUGUCCUUAGGGAAGAACCGUGGGUAUAGUAAAUGCUACCCACCUGACGGUACCUUUGGAGGAAGCACUGGCUAACUACGUGCCAGCAGCCGCGGUAAUACGUAGAGUGCAAGCGUUGUCCGGAAUUAUUGGGCGUAAAGGGUACGCAGGCGGAUAAUCAAGUCAAGCGUGAAAGGUGUCGGCUUAACCGACAGACUGCGUUUGAAACUGGUUAUCUUGAGUGUAACAGAGGAGAGUGGAAUUCCUAGUGUAGUGGUGAAAUACGUAGAUAUUAGGAAGAACACCAGUGGCGAAGGCGACUCUCUGGGUUAACACUGACGCUGAGGUACGAAAGCUGGGGGAGCGAACGGGAUUAGAUACCCCGGUAGUCCCAGCCGUAAACGAUGGAUACUAGGUGUUGGAGGUUCGAAUCCUUCAGUGCCGGAGUUAACGCAUUAAGUAUCCCGCCUGGGGAUUACGAUCGCAAGAUUGAA